GAUGAACGCUGGCGGCGUGCCUAAUACAUGCAAGUCGAGCGAACAGACGAGGAGCUUGCUCCUUUGACGUUAGCGGCGGACGGGUGAGUAACGCGUGGAUAACCUACCUAUAAGACUGGGAUAACUUCGGGAAACCGGAGCUAAUACCGGAUAACAUGUUGAACCGCAUGGUUCAACAGUGAAAGACGGUCUUGCUGUCACUUAUAGAUGAAUCCGCGCCGCAUUAGCUAGUUGGUAAGGUAACGGCUUACCAAGGCAACGAUGCGUAGCCGACCUGAGAGGGUGAUCGGCCACACUGGAACUGAGACACGGUCCAGACUCCUACGGGAGGCAGCAGUAGGGAAUCUUCCGCAAUGGGCGAAAGCCUGACGGAGCAACGCCGCGUGAGUGAAGAAGGUCUUCGGAUCGUAAAACUCUGUUAUUAGGGAAGAACAAAUGUGUAAGUAACUAUGCACGUCUUGACGGUACCUAAUCAGAAAGCCACGGCUAACUACGUG
rnacentral:rRNA from 1 species